rnacentral:tRNA from 1 species
GGCCGGUUAGCUCAGUUGGUUAGAGCGUGGUGCUAAUAACGACAAGGUCGUGGGUUCGAUCCCCAUACUGGCCA